CCUCGGGUAUGGACAUGGGAAUGGAAGUGAGCUGGCUGCCUUCCAUGUCCAGCAGAGCGGAGAUGGAGACCCCCAAAUCGUGACAGCCCCAAGCGAGGUUCGAGGGGGACGGGAGCAGCGGCGAGCUCUCCUCUUGUGAGGAGGAGGGAAAGGCUGAUGCAUCCCUGCUUGUCCUCUACCUCGGGUGGUCCCUCCUGGAGUUUAAUGACCCCCGAGCUCCUGCCUGGUUCUGAAAAGGUGGCAGGGUCCCAAAAAAGCUGGCAUGGUGGGUGUGCCUUCCCAUGGCAGUGAGCAUCCUGAUGACGUGAGCCGAUGCGGGGAGGAUUCAUGGGUCCGGGGAAGGGGAUGGAGCCACUGUGUGUGCACACCCAGCUCAGCACCAUGACCCCCGGGAUGUGCCGGGACAUCCUCCCGUCAGCAUCAUCCCGCAGUCCUGCCUGCCCCGGCUCAGCAGCUAAGGUGGGCAUUCACAUGCCGGCAGCCGACAGGGAGCAGCGGGGCCCAGAUUUGCCGGUGCAUUAGUAAAUGAGGCUCUGAUCUCCUUACAUAAAUCAAAGUGCAUUUGCUGACCAAGGGCUACAACCCGAGCGAGCGCAUGCCGAUGUGGCCCCCAUGGCCCCCCGCCUCCCCCUCCCCACCCCCCUGCCAGCCACUGACAUUUAACAUGAUUAAUAUUACCUGGCAUCUUUCAAUCUUUUUUUUUUUUGCUGGCUCUGAUGGCCAAAAAGCAUCGAGCGAGCCUCCCCCGCACCCGCUGCCCACUCCCCUGCUGCCUGCGCAGCAGCAGAUGGGAAGCCGGGUGCCUGCCGAACAGCCGGGGAGAAGGCGCUUCCCCCCCGCCUCUCCCCUCCCCAAAGGUCACUGGUAGAUAACAGCUGCACAGCUAGCAUUAAUAAUUUGGCAAAUAAUUUGAUUUGGGAGAAAGAUGCUCAAGCGGCAGCUCGGAGAUGAGGAGGAUGGUUAGGGGAUGCAGCCCAACUUGGCAUUGGAGGGACCACCCGGCACAUCCCAGCUGCGGUGGGGUGGGAUGGGGAGAUGGAGCCGUGCAUGAAAGCAGGGAUGUAGGCUCCAAACCUGCAGCUCGAGCAAUCAAAAGCGUGCGGCAGACAGGAGCGUGCCAGCCUCCGCCGCAGCCAGGCGGCCUGAAGGGAUGAGAAAAGCUCUCGGAGCCCGCGGGAUGCGGACGAAGAGGCGAAGGCGACCCCCAUCCCACCUGCACUGCCCCCACCAACACAGCCGGCUCUGCUUGGAUAUGAGCGUGGGCAGCCCCGGGUGGGAAUUAUCCCUGCCAGGAGAAUGAGAAUUAACCUUUCCUUCCCUCCCGCCAUCCCUCCCCUGCCUUUCAGCCAGCUGCACCAGUGGGUCCCCAAGACCAACCCUCCUCC